rnacentral:rRNA from 1 species
UGGGGAAUUUUGGACAAUGGGCGAAAGCCUGAUCCAGCAAUGCCGCGUGUGUGAAGAAGGCCUUCGGGUUGUAAAGCACUUUUGUCCGGAAAGAAAUCCUUGGCUCUAAUACAGUCGGGGGAUGACGGUACCGGAAGAAUAAGCACCGGCUAACUACGUGCCAGCAGCCGCGGUAAUACGUAGGGUGCAAGCGUUAAUCGGAAUUACUGGGCGUAAAGCGUGCGCAGGCGGUUUGCUAAGACCGAUGUGAAAUCCCCGGGCUCAACCUGGGAACUGCAUUGGUGACUGGCAGGCUAGAGUAUGGCAGAGGGGGGUAGAAUUCCACGUGUAGCAGUGAAAUGCGUAGAGAUGUGGAGGAAUACCGAUGGCGAAGGCAGCCCCCUGGGCCAAUACUGACGCUCAUGCACGAAAGCGUGGGGGAGCAAACAGGAUUAGAUACCCUGGUAGUCCACGCCCUAAACGAUGUCAACUAGUUGUUGGGGAUUCAUUUCCUUAGUAACGUAGCUAACGCGUGAAGUUGACCGCCUGGGGAGUACGGUCGCAAGAUUAAAACUUAAAUGAA